GAGUUUGAACCUGGCUCAGGAUGAACGCUGGCGGCGUGCCUAAUACAUGCAAGUCGAGCGAACCACUUCGGUGGUGAGCGGCGAACGGGUGAGUAACACGUAGGUGAUCUGCCCAUCAGACGGGGACAACGAUUGGAAACGAUCGCUAAUACCGGAUAGGACGAAAGUUUAAAGGUGCUUCUGGCACCGCUGAUGGAUGAGCCUGCGGCGCAUUAGCUAGUUGGUAGGGUAAAGGCCUACCAAGGCGACGAUGCGUAGCCGACCUGAGAGGGUGAACGGCCACACUGGGACUGAGACACGGCCCAGACUCCUACGGGAGGCAGCAGUAGGGAAUCUUCGGCAAUGGGCGAAAGCCUGACCGAGCAACGCCGCGUGAAUGAUGAAGGCCUUCGGGUUGUAAAAUUCUGUUAUAAGGGAAGAACGACUUUAGUAGGAAAUGGCUAGAGUGUGACGGUACCUUAUGAGAAAGCCACGGCUAACUACGUGCCAGCAGCCGCGGUAAUACGUAGGUGGCGAGCGUUAUCCGGAAUUAUUGGGCGUAAAGAGCGCGCAGGUGGUUGAUUAAGUCUGAUGUGAAAGCCCACGGCUUAACCGUGGAGGGUCAUUGGAAACUGGUCGACUUGAGUGCAGAAGAGGGAAGUGGAAUUCCAUGUGUAGCGGUGAAAUGCGUAGAGAUAUGGAGGAACACCAGUGGCGA
rnacentral:rRNA from 1 species